rnacentral:rRNA from 1 species
UACCUGCAGUCGAACGAUGAAGCCCUUCGGGGUGGAUUAGUGGCGAACGGGUGAGUAACACGUGGGCAAUCUGCCCUUCACUCUGGGACAAGCCCUGGAAACGGGGUCUAAUACCGGAUAAUACUUUCCCUCUCAUGGGGGAAGGUUAAAAGCUCCGGCGGUGAAGGAUGAGCCCGCGGCCUAUCAGCUAGUUGGUGGGGUAAUGGCCUACCAAGGCGACGACGGGUAGCCGGCCUGAGAGGGCGACCGGCCACACUGGGACUGAGACACGGCCCAGACUCCUACGGGAGGCAGCAGUGGGGAAUAUUGCACAAUGGGCGAAAGCCUGAUGCAGCGACGCCGCGUGAGGGAUGACGGCCUUCGGGUUGUAAACCUCUUUCAGCAGGGAAGAAGCGAAAGUGACGGUACCUGCAGAAGAAGCGCCGGCUAACUACGUGCCAGCAGCCGCGGUAAUACGUAGGGCGCAAGCGUUGUCCGGAAUUAUUGGGCGUAAAGAGCUCGUAGGCGGCUUGUUGCGUCGGUUGUGAAAGCCCGGGGCUUAACCCCGGGUCUGCAGUCGAUACGGGCAGGCUAGAGUGUGGUAGGGGAGAUCGGAAUUCCUGGUGUAGCGGUGAAAUGCGCAGAUAUCAGGAGGAACACCGGUGGCGAAGGCGGAUCUCUGGGCCAUUACUGACGCUGAGGAGCGAAAGCGUGGGGAGCGAACAGGAUUAGAUACCCUGGUAGUCCACGCCGUAAACGUUGGGAACUAGGUGUUGGCGACAUUCCACGUCGUCGGUGCCGCAGCUAACGCAUUAAGUUCCCCGCCUGGGGAGUACGGCCGCAAGGCUAAACUCAGAAAAA